CCUACGGGAGGCAGCAGUGAGGAAUAUUGGACAAUGGUCGGAAGACUGAUCCAGCCAUGCCGCGUGCAGGAUGAAGGUCUUAUGGAUUGUAAACUGCUUUUGCAGGGGAAGAAUAAGGACUACGUGUAGUUUGAUGACGGUACUCUGUGAAUAAGCAUCGGCUAACUCCGUGCCAGCAGCCGCGGUAAUACGGAGGAUGCGAGCGUUAUCCGGAAUCAUUGGGUUUAAAGGGUCUGUAGGCGGGCUGGUAAGUCAGAGGUGAAAGCGCUUAGCUCAACUAAGCAACUGCCUUUGAAACUGCUGGUCUUGAAUGGUUGUGAAGUAGUUGGAAUGUGUAGUGUAGCGGUGAAAUGCUUAGAUAUUACACAGAACACCGAUAGCGAAGGCAUAUUACUAACAAUUAAUUGACGCUGAUGGACGAAAGCGUGGGGAGCGAACAGGAUUAGAUACCCUGGUAGUCCACGCUGUAAACGAUGGAUACUAGCUGUUUGGUUUUAAAGAUUGAGUGGCUAAGCGAAAGUGAUAAGUAUCCCACCUGGGGAGUACGCACGCAAGUGUGAAACUCAAAGGAAUUGACGG
rnacentral:rRNA from 1 species